ACGCUCCUCUCGCCCCUCCUCUCGAUCCACCCCCUUUCGCUGUGUUUUCUCUUUCCCUCGUAUCCCACUCCGCCGCCUCCCGCCUUCCUCCGCCGCCGCCGCCCCUCACCCUGCCUGCCUGCCUUGGUUUUUGGGCAUCCCACUCCUCCGCUGCCAUAUGCCGCCUCCACCAAGAUCCGAGGCCCCCCACUUGUGGGCCGCCGCCGCCGCCACAGAACCUCGGGGAAGGGCGGGGCAGGGCGCAGUCUUCCUCUUCCGCCGCCAUCUGUUCCCCCUCCGCUCCCAUCUGCCGCCGCCGCGGAAACGUGGGACGCCGCUGUCGCUGCCGCUGAAUCCAAGGGACGUCGCCGCCGUCGCGGAUCGGCAGGACGCCGCCGUCGCAAAUCGGCGGGACGCCGCCACCGCUAUCGCCUCGGAUCACCAGGAUGCCGCCGUCGCAGAUCACCAGGUCGCCGCCGUCGGCUCCGAUCUCACACGCCGCCGGCGUGGCCGUGACGACUGAUGAGCACGCUCAGCCCCCAUUCCUGCCACAGGGGAAGCUAGAGGCAGAGAACCGUCGGUCUUGCAUAUGUCAGUGACGGUCGCUGAUCAGGUUGUUGCGCGCGAAUGACAACAAUUGGUUCAUAACGAACCAAUAGUAGGACAUGCCGUUCGACCUUCUUAUAGAAGUGAACAAUCAUUUCUAGAGCAUUAUAUUAGCUGGACUUUUUAUGAGGUAUGAGCAAGUUGAGAGUUCCGAGUGGGUAUAUUUUCUGAGUUCCUAAAUAUGAUCAGUGGGCUGGCGCCGAAGUCCAUCUUGACAGGUAGGUAGAUUGAGAUAAUUUGUAUGUCUCAAGGUUGUUAUCUGGUUCAUUAGUGUGCUGAGGCUCUGUAGAUCAAAACAGAGCCAUGAAGGUUGCUAUGAGCAAACUAUGUCCAGGGAAGGUCAUGGCUAAGGAAACGGGACUGGCGGAUUUCCCCCUCGUCGUGGACAAGACGUCAUGACACAGUUGUGAUGAGGUGUGGCGCAAGCGUGGCUGUAGGAUCCCUCCUAUGAAGCCAGGCAAUGACAUCAUCGGAUCCUCGCUGGUAUGCAGAGCUGUCGCGUGGAUCCGACAGGUGGCAGGGACGUGUGACUAAUCAGGUACAUGGCCUUGGUUCCACAUUUAAUGUUACCAAGUUCUUAAUCUGUCAUAUUGCUUCUACCGUUCAGAUAUCUGAUGCCAUUACAGAUGGUGCUGAAGGAUCUUGUAGUAUGCAAGUAUGGAGCAAUUUAUAAAAUGGCUUGCAUGAUGUCACUUGUCAUCCUUGGCAUCUUAUCUCUUUCGCACUACUACCUGCAGCUGGAGGCAUCAUGCCAAGGAAGCUGAUUUCUCAGCCAUGGCAUGGCUGUAUUUAGUGUGGCACUACUUUAUGCAACAUUUUAUGUUUGUCUUGGAGUAUAGAUUCACCUGAUUCAAUGAAGGUUACGGACAGUAAGUAACUUGCAAGCAUGAAUUUUUUCCACCAUUAAAUCUACUCCUUUUUUCCUAUGUUUACAUGCCCCCACAUAUUUACGGGUUCAACUUUUGACCAACUAAUCCUGGGUUAGUUCAUAAAAAUUAUACCAUUGAAUUUCUAUUAUAAAAUAGUUUCCAGCAGUAUAUAUAUUUUCUGACAUGUGAAUCAUCUAUUAUUGGUCAAUGUUCAAACACAAAACCUGAGGGCGCCAUGUAAAUAGAGACGGAGGUAGUAGUUAUUAGUUUUCACAAUGUAUACAUUUUUAAACUAUCAGUUUCUUUUAAGAAUUGAUGCGUACGCGUUCAAUUGAUGUCGCGAAUUCAACAAGUGCUUUGAUGUCUCUGUCUACAAGUUUGUGAGUUAGAUUGGUUCAGUAAAUGGCUUAAACUGUUGGAGGAGUCUGUGGUUGUGAUGGUACGUUCAUACGUUGUUGUUGGUAUCGUUCGCUUCCUCCCCCGCAGUGCUCCAUCGUCGAUGGAAGGAUCUCCUCGCCGAUUUUUUCCAAACAAACCGCACCCCGUCUGUUUGUUUCCAUUCAAAUUUCACUCCCAUGACAUGACAACCGAUCCCUCCCCAUCCUACUCUUUCCUUGCAAAAGCAUAACAGAAUCGAAACUUGCCUUGCCUUGACCGACACAUUCCCAGCGGAUUUCACAAAUCAAUCUUCAUCCAGUCCACCGCAGUUCCCGCUGAUCCCCUUUCAUCAUCCCCGCCGCCCCGCCUUCCAAUUAGCCAUCUUUCAUUGCAAUCAUCGAGCCCUACCAUGCAAGCAGUCCUACGAGGCUACGACUGUCGUGGUGCUGGUGGCCUCCAGCGCGCUCGCCGGGGCCAGGGGUGGACUAAGUUUCGGUGCUGUCUCUGGUGGAGACUACGGGAUGCGGCUGCACGAGAAGAACCUGCAGAAGAAGAUGCCGGUGUGGACAGAGAGGCGGACGCAGCAGGAGGCGUGUGUGGCGCAAGCGCGGGCUUAACUUGCGGGCGCGGAUUAGGGAAGAGGCCAUCUCGGUGGCGGCUUGUGACCUGGGGGACGCGCUAGCACGCGAGCCCGGUGACCAUCAUGUGUGCGUUCUGGACGUACCAUGUGGUGUAUGCCACAAUGCCAUGUGGGUUGGGCCUGCAUGAAAUGCUGAUCUGUAGCAGAUCCUCCAUCGCCUCAUCACUGGCUGCUCAAGGGCAGCAUCACACACCAAGGCCUGUGACAACAUCUUCAUGCCCAACUCUCACUCCACAUGGGAACGACACUGCUCUAUUGCUUGCUUAUUUAAGAUCAUGGCAAUCAUUUUAUCUAGCCUAUGUGUUUCUAAUUUUCUCCCCUUAUUGUUGCAGGUUAGAGUGCAGCUUUCAGACACUUCUUUCUUUGGGAUAGUUGGAAUACUAUGACUAAAUAUAGAAGAGGCUCAAAUGGUAAUGCUAUCAGUGUUUGCCCCUUCCGUGAUUUAUGCGUAGCAUGUAGACUAUCAGCGACAAUUUGAGCCUCUUUGUGAAGUAGUUUUGUAGGGUAUUGCUUCAAGUCAAGAAAAUAGCUUCCAAAGAUAGUUUAACCGAAGAGCUUCUGAUCUCUACAUGUGAAUGAUGCAGAAGCAUAUUAGUCAUGCAGAAAUAAUCAUAUGCUGAAGGAAGGACUUGGAACUGUAACUAAAAACAAAAUGAAAUGAAGAUGCAUACCCCCAACCUCAACUGUUGUGUCACCAUCGAGGACAUCUAGCUGCUUGUUAUUCUUCAGUUACUAUUGCUCUUAAGAUUCAUGUCUUAGAUAUUCUUAGGAGAGAAAUUGUAUGGAAUUUAAUGAUCAUUCAUCUCAACAAAUAUACGUGAUAUUUCCUUGUAAAAGGUUGCCUACCGAAUUUAUGGCCUACUAUUAAAGGGGAGUUUGUUUCCACUUCCACCACCUCUCGUUCGAUCCUAACCUCCUUUGGUUUUUUCCCUUGCAGCGAUUCCUCACUCCCACCGGUUUGUUUAGGAAUGGAUGCCUCUCCUCCCAUGUCCAGUUUUAGUGUUAGUUUUUGGCUCUAAUAAUCUCGUUCGACCCACCGCUACAAAUAGAUGCCACACCGCUCCUUUUGUUACGAUGGACUCAUGUGAGGCCUCGACAGACCCACUUCCUUACAGCAAAACGAAAACAAUCAACCAUCAAUCAGAAAUCUCCCUGAUAUUUCUUUCCUUCAGAUGCAUACAUAGCAGCCCAGGCCCAGCAGAUCUGCAUUUCCUUUCCUUUCCUUUUUUUGUUACACCUUUUCUUCUCUUCUUGUUAUAUCAUUUCGAAAAGAUUGAUCUACACGAUCGUCGUCUAUUCGAGACUCAUCUAGACAUGAAAAAUAUGUGCAGACUCUAGGAUACAAAUAUGCGUCAUAGAUCUACUUAGUAUAUGUACGCAAUAAAAAAUUUAAAAGGCCCAUAGCAACGCACAGGAUUCUACUGGUUGAUGUUACAAAUUGUUUAGGCCCUAGAUCUCAAGUAGCAGCUCUAACAGGAAGGGAAUAAAGUGAACUAUUAGUUGCUAUUGAUGUUACAUUUAAACCUUUGCGAUUGCUAGACAGUAGAAAUAAUUGAAAAUAUUCUCUUCUUUGCUUUCCAAUUGGUAGUAUUCAAGAUAACAAGAAAUCCAAUAUUGUUGUUUCUUGUGAAGUGUAGUUCACUUUAUUCCCUUCCUGUUAGAGCUGCUACUUGAGAUCCAGAGCCUAAACAACUUGUGACCAUAGACUGCUGAGAGUUAUCAUAUUUGAUCUUCAAGUGCAAUCCUUCAGUUGUUCUAUUGCAUCUCCGAGCCAUAUUAGCAUACAUUUCCAAUCAACAAUUGACUACUGGGUCAGUUAUUACUAUCUCUGAGAAAUUCUUUCUUAAUUUGUCCUAUAAACAAUUAAAUUCAUUAUUGGCCAUGAAGUUCACUGCAAAUUUGCUGCGCAGUUUUUAUUUCAGAGAUACAUGUGAAUAUUUUUUUGUUUAUUACUUUUGCCGAAUAUGAAUAGUUCAUUUGAGAUCCCUCUAACAAAACACGAUAAGAAAGGGGAAGAAUUAACCUACAGGGAGGCAUGAUCGAGGUCGUUGCUCAUGCAUGUUUGAUGGCAUUGUUUCAGGCGCCCACCGACUGUGUGUAUGCCUGUUACCUACGGCGUCGUUGUUUCUUCCCUCGGUCGAGCGUGGUCCACCAGCCACUACCUGUAGGCAAUAGCAUUAGGCCGGCAACUAUCGCGGAUCAAGGGUACAAAUCAACCAGACUAGGAGAGGGGGUGGUGGUCUACGUAGUGGCAGGGAGAGGAAGCGAUGGCUGACACCAAGGCUGGGAGAGGAGCCGGCAGAUGACUCUAUGGCGGGACAAGAGGAGCAGUGGCAGGGAGAGAAAGCGGGACUAUGCCAUGUGAGUUGCUGAAGUUGUGCCUUGUGAGGUGGGGAUAAGGGAUGUGUGUUGUGCAUGUGUAGUGAGAGGCGUGGAGUAGCUUUUCCUUUUUGAGGGAGGCUGUUUAUUUGUCUAGAACAGAUUAGCUUCUUUUCCUUUCUCCCUUGUGAACUGAGAGGAGUGGUUAUUAUGCCACGAGAGAAGUGUCAGAUAUUCUAGAAAUAGCAAAAAAUGUUCUAAAGAUAAUAGCCAAACAAGUGAUCUAGAGAAUGUCCUAUGUUGCUACAAAGCAGGAUGUGACUCACUCCACACAUGCAUACCAUGUAUAUAUUUUGGACUCACUCUACAUCACAUUUGGUAGAGAAUAAAGCUAUGAGAUAUCGAAAUUACUGAGAUUUUCAAGGGACUUCAAUAACGCACUUGAAAUAGCAUUUCACAACCUAUAUUCUCUGUCGGCUGAUAUUCCAAUGAGCACAGACAAGUAUAUUUAUCUAUUUUAUUUUCAUAAUCAAGAUACAUGCAAUUAUUUUAUCAUCAUUAUAUUUAUAUUCUAGAUAAUAAUAAUUUAUUCGUUACAAGAGUGUGUUGGGUUAUUUUGUACUGCCGUCGUUUCUAAAUAUAAGUCCAUAUAGAUAUUUCUAUACGAACUGCAUACGGAUGUAUAUAGACAUAUUUUAGAGUGUAGAUUCACUCAUUAUGCUCCGCAAAUAGUCUGUAUUGGAAUCUCUAAAACAACUUAUAUUUAAGAACGGAGGAAGUAUAUGAUUUUAUGCUCUUCAUGUAUAUGUUGCCAAAUUACAUUUUUAAUACAUUGCAACUAAAAAGAAAUAAUGGAGAUGCAAGUGAAGUGGGAAAAUGGAAAUACAUUGCAUCAAGUAUAUAAGUCGACUGUUACUGGAAAUCUUUUCUACACAUGUGAAAUUUGAAGGGCAUCAUGUUUCAAUAUGCAACCAACAAAAAUAUUAGAAGGCCCGUGGCAACGCACGGACAUUAUACUAGUAUGCUUUAAUUACCCACCAUACCAUUGGGUUACCAUCCACAGAAACACGUUCCGUAAAAUAAAAAACAAUUCCGAACCCUCCUGCGGCCAUGCCCUCGGGCAGUUUUUGCCAUCGCCCCCACCUCGUCCCCCACAUCCUCCCCCACCAGCCACCGUCUGCACGGCCGUCGGACCGCCGCGCCCACGCUCCAGGCGCUCGGGCCGCCACGUCCAUGCGCCGCCGGGUCCGCCCCCUCCCAGCCCCGUCCACGGGACGCCGCGCCCAGCCGAGCCGCCGGCGCGCCACCCGGUCCGCCCCGUCCACACGGGCCGCCGCGCCCAGCCGAGCCGCGUCCACUCCCCUCCACCAUACCCAAUCACGCCUCCACUCCCCUCCACCAUCGACAACAUUGAAGCCAAUCCCACGAUCCACUCGGACGUCAACUGCUCCUCCCCAACCUGCCUCGAGCCCUCGACGCCUCCCCACCGCUGCGCUCUCACUCCUUGCCCCCACGCGCCACCGCCAUCCCUCCUUCCUGCUACCGUCGUCGUCGCGCCUCGCCCUCCUCCAGGUGGAACGGCUACCAGCAUGGUCAGUGUCAUUUUUUCCUUCUCUCGAGCGAAACGGCCUUAAUAUAACUCGUUGUUGCCGGUGAGAGCAAAGCGGAUGCAGCCCUAGAUCAAGCCAAUUGAUCUUUCGCGGCGUGGGAAGACGCCGGGGCGCUGGACUCGCCGCCUCCCCUCCCGCAUACCUGAUUGUCGGCUAGCGCUCAACGACGAGGGAUACACCGCCGCUGGCCGGGCGAUGUGGUUUUUGUUUUCAGGUCCUAGGGAUUUUACAAGCAGUUGUUUGACCCUACUAAUUUCCGUCGGAUGCACAUAUUCCAGAGAACAGUACUCUUCUUAUGGUUCUACUUGCAGGGAUCCCCGUGGGUUGAGGGCGUCGAGUCAAUGGAGUUAUGUGCGGCCACGGCAACAACACGCGUGGAGCUGUUCCCAGUAUGGUCGUGCAUUCAUUUUACAUGUUACUUCUGUGUUCCCUGGAUAGGUGUGUUGUGCAGACCUGACAUAGGUUGUGUUGGACACUAGCAAGUGUUCCCUGUCGCACCUGAAAAAAAUCAUCUUUGAUGCAGAAAGUUAUAGUCACAUCUUUUGAGAAAUCUUGUCAGAGGAAGAGAUGAUGGUCUUUACAGAAUUUGAAUCACGGGAGAGUGAUAAAUAGAGGGAUGCUUAAUUUUGAGGGGCUGGACUUCUCCUCCAGGUUAAUGGUAUUCUUUCUCACAUGAAGCAUAGGAUUAUAACUACCGGGAAGCACAUGAUGUUGUUCAUGAAUUCGACAGUAAUUUUGAGAAAAUAGGGAGAAGAAAAAUGUAUGACACAAGAAGAGAUACCUCUAGAAGCAGUGGAAACAGGUCUGCCUUGUAUCUCUUUCAUGACGGAUCUUGAAACUUGUACUGACAAGAGAACGGAGGAAGUGAAGAAAAACACUUCACAUGACAUCAUGAUAAGCUCUAUUCUGUUGUAAACAUGUUUGUAGUACCAUUUAUCAUCAAUCAUUUAAAGUGUCAUUAAGAGUAAAAUGACAUUCUCUAUGUGCUCUAGGUAAACUUUGAGUGGAUACACAAUUCCUGUUUUUUUUGUAUUUGGUCAAGCAGAAUAAUGUAUGAGAAAAUAAAGCUCUUUCAUGUAUUCGUGUUAUAUGUGGGAAUAUUAUUACUGGUUUUGCUACCGUAACAUACAAUAUUGCAAGUUUGGCAGAAAUAAGUGACUACUGGUCAGUAUAAUCAUAUGAGGAUAAUAUCGGGGUACAAGAUCCUUUCCUGUUUUUCAUGGAGUUAGAGAACAACAUGGUGUGUUGCAUGUUGCACAUUCAGGAUUGCUACAUGAUUAGCAUGUGACUUUAGACAAGUGAAUGUCUAACUGACAUUGUCAAGUGACAGCGAGAAGAAGAACGUUUCAGCUUGUGGAGUAUCUUCCAAGUUAGAUAUACCAUCCCGCAAGGUAUGGGCGUUUUCAAGCUGUCCCUCGAGUUUUUCAUCAUGCUCUGCAAUGAGAUUUUCUACCUCUUCAUGGUCAUUGUCCUGACAAGCAAAGUCCAAGAUGGGUAGAUUGUCGUUCAUUCGCUUCGUAUCUGGGGGAGGAUAUGCAAUAUAGGAAAACUUGACUAAGCUUUGUGAAAUUUUGGUUCCAUUGGGUGACUUUUAUUUUCCUUUGAUGGCUAGGAUGCACAUGUAAAAUCACAUAAUUUGAUCCUCCCGAGUCUGGUAGAUUCGCUACCAAUAGUCGACUUAGCACUUAUCUUGUGCUGCAUAAUUGUUUCAGACUACCAUCCUUGUACAGCAGCAAAUCAACUAUGUGCCUCUUUUGAGAAGCAAAGAUGUUGAUUGUCUACCUUGAAGGUUAUAGUUGCUAAAGAGUCUACACAGGAGAAAUAUUUUAUCUCACAACUUUCACUUGAUCAGUCUAAGAAUGAAAGGAAGUAUGCAUUAAAUAUACAAAAGUCUCCAUAAGGUUAGAUUAAGACGGUAGUGUCCUAUCUUUAAAUCCUCCAAGAACGCUAGAAACUAAUUUUAUUA